rnacentral:rRNA from 1 species
CCCUUAGAUGUUCUGGGCCGCACGCGUGUUACACUGAUGCGUUCAUCAAGACAUCUGGUCCGAAAGGUCUGGAGAAUCUCGAAAGCGCAUCGUGCUGGGGAUAGAGUAUUGUAAUUUUUACUCUUCAACGAGGAAUUUCUAGUAGGCGCGAGUCAUCAACUCGCACCGAUUACGUCCCUGUCCUUUGUACACACCGCCCGUCGCUACUACCGAUUGAAUCAUUUGGUGAGGUCUACGGACUGUUGUUCUUUGGCUUCGGUCAUUGGCUUCGGGAAGUAGCACGAACCUGAUGAUUUAGAGGAAGUAAAANUCGUANCA